rnacentral:lncRNA from 1 species
CGUCACUAGUUUGCAGCAUGUUUGUAAGAAAAAUGAGCAACAGAAGUUCAAAUCAGGCGUCUUAGAGAGUGCAUGAACUGGGAGUGAUUGGAAGUUUCGUUUAAAUAGCAAAUAACAUGCUCCGUGCUUUAACAAGAAACCAGAACAAGCCCCAAUCACAGGAACUAUGGAAAAAAGCUCAAGUAAAGGAAUUUCAGUUUCCUGAAAGUUGAGCUCUGUGUCCUUCUUGUUCAUUUGUAUGUGUUAAAAAAAAAAAGGGUUUGGCUCCAUCACUAAGCAACAAAGAGCAAGAAGAACAACAAUGUCAUCAUCAUCAUCAUCAUCAUCAUCAUCAUCAUCAUCAUCAUCAACAGAAACAACAACAACAUUGGAGCCCCGGAGUAUCAAAUGAAUCCUAAUCCAUAAGCACUUGUCCUUUCCCUUUAUUCAAGGUAUCUGGCUCUUUCCCCUUGGAGCCAAAUCAGAUUUUAAAAGGCAUAUUGCCUUUCAACUUCUCAUCAGUUAGAUUAAAUUUCUGGUUGACUUUGGUUUGAAUUCUUUUUUAUUUGAAAGAGAAAAAGGUGAAUUUAUGUAGGUGUUUUACUUUUAAAAAUUCAAUAAUUCUGGUUAUUGCUCUAUUCAUUAGAUAGCUAGCAUUUCCCAUACCUCCCAGUUUUAAACACAUUGACUUAAAUGGAAAUCUCUAAUGCAAUGUUCUAAGAAACUAUUGUUGGUCCUGUACUGUUCAACACUUCUAUCAGUGCUUUGUAUGAAGAUCUAAAUGAUACUUUUAUAAAAUUUGCCAAUAACAUGAAACUUUAAGGCACAGAUGACACAUUGGAUGACAUAGUCAAGGUCCAAGAAAGUACUGGAGGCUAGAAUAAUAGUACUUUAUCAAAGGCAAUGAAAUUAUAUAUGGACAAGUAGAAAGUACCAGAUGGAGUCAAAUGAUUCAGGAUGGAAGAGUGAUAAUAAGAUACUAUUUUUUUCCUAGGGAAAAGAAAAGGGCAUCUUAAUAGACAAAAAGCUCACUCUGAAUCAACAUGACAUGGAAAUUAGCUAAGCAAAUUAGAAUACAUAU